GUAUGCUGGAUGUUGAAGAUGAAGCUUCUGAAGCUUUUGUGAAGUACAGGCAAGUACAUAAUAAUUCUGAGGUCAAACCCUACAGAAUAAAGGGUAAGUAAACAUAAUGAAUAUAUAGGGCCUAAACACAACACACAUAUAUUGGGCCUCAGCAAAGCAAACAUAUAUUGAGCCUGUUAUACAUGACUAAGGGAUCCAUUAUAGCUAUCUUGCAUUUACUAUGGAAUUCUCUAGAAGAUGAUGGAUAACAACAAAUCAGGGUUUUAAUACUUUGUCCCAUUAUACAGGACAUUAUCCUUUAAUUGUCCUUGUACAGCUUUUAUAAUUUGUCUUUUACAUUGCUAGUUUUGUAUAUAAUAGGAUAUACUUUGUAAUACACACAGCAGAAAUACAAAAAAGGUUUAAGGAAAUCUUUCUCUGCAUUUGUUUUUUUGCUUUCAUGGUAUCAGAGCAAGAGCUCUAAUACACAGAUACACAUUUUUUUCUUCUCUCUUUUCUGAUCUUUUUUUUUCCCUUUGAGUUGUUAUGGCAGUCCCCUCUGAAUCUGAUGUUUCAUCUGGAACAGCUUCCACAGGGACUGUUCCAAAUCCCAUUGAUGGAACUAAUCUUGUUGCCGCUACAAGCUUAGUGGAUGGAUCUUAGUGGAUGGAUCUCACCCCUAUUUUCUGAACUCUUCUGAUUAAUGUUAAUUUUGAUGGAAGCAGUUAUUAAAACUGGAGGAGGGGAGUUUUGAUUUCACUUUCUGCUAAAAACAAGCUGGGAUUUAUAAAGGGAUCUUGCAAAAUCCCAGAAGAAAACUCACCUCUGUUUGAACAAUGGAGAAGACGCAAUGACUUGGUCAUUGCAUGGCUGCUGAACUCUUUGAGCAAAGAUAUAGCUGAGAGUGUAAUUUACUCUCAAACUGCUGAAGAACUUUGGAGUGAGCUGGAGCAAAGAUAUGGACAGGCUGAUGGUGCUAAGUUGUUUCAGCUGCAAAGAGAACUCAACAAUAUUUCACAAGGCACCAGUGAUGUUGCAGCAUAUUUUACUAGACUCAAAAGGAUUUGGGACCAAAUGAAAGUUCUUAAUACAUUCAUGACUUGCAGUUGUUAAUGUAAGUGUGGAGCCAAGAGUCACAACCACAAAAUGAAUGAGGAUCAGAAGUUAAUCCAGUUCAUGGGUUUGAAUGAAGGAUACUCGGGUGUUAGGGGAAACAUUCUCAUGAUGAAGCCCCUACCUUCUACAGCACAAGCCUACUCUAUCAUUCUUCAUGAAGAAACUCAAAGGGAGGUCCAUUCUGCAAGCCAAGUGUGCAUUGAAUCUAGUGUCUUCAAUGUUAAUGCACCAAAAUGGAAUGGACAGAAACGCAAUACUGAAUACAGGGCAAAUAACCAAAAUUUCAGCAAUGAAGGAAAGAGAAACAAUCAACUUUGCUCAUAUUGCAAGAAACCAGGGCAUAACAAGGAAAAGUGCUACAAAUUGGUUGGAUAUAUCCACAGUCCUUUAAGUGCACCAAACCUAAGAGAAAUUAUGGAAACACUCAAGCUAAUAUUGCCACUGUUGAGGAAGGCGAAAGCUCGGGUGGUACAGUGGGCAUUGGAGGGAAUGUACCUGCUAUGAUAAGCACACAGGGGUUCUCUAAAGAACAAUGUGAGCAGCUGAUCCACAUGUUACAGGCUAUGCAAGUUGGAACCUCUAAAGGUUCAGGUACUGAUGCCAAUGCCAGUGCUAACUUUGUGGGCCCCUUCUCUAUAGAGGCAAAUGAUGCUUGGUGAAGCCAAUGCAGGAAUCUAUCUGCUGGAAGAUGGUUCAUUAAAAUCUAGUGUGUCUGUGUCUAAUCCUACUUGUUCAGGAUCUUUACUUUAUUUUCCUAAAAGUCUUGAGAAGACUUGUAGUUUAGCCAAUUCUGAGUCUUUUGUCCAGUCUUUUAAUUCUGCCCCAGAGUCUGUUCAAACAAAUAUAAAAGAUACUUUUGCAUCUAAUGAGAAGAUGACUAUGGAUGAAAUUAAUAUUUCUCA